UGGGGGAUAUUGCACAAUGGGCGAAAGCCUGAUGCAGCGACGCCGCGUGGGGGAUGAAGGCUUUCGGGUUGUAAACCUCUUUCGCUAUCGAACAAGGCCCGCUUAGGGUGGGUUGAGGGUAGGUGGAGAAGAAGCGCCGGCUAACUACGUGCCAGCAGCCGCGGUAAUACGUAGGGCGCGAGCGUUGUCCGGAAUUAUUGGGCGUAAAGGGCUUGUAGGCGGCUUGUUGCGCCUGCUGUGAAAACGCGGGGCUUAACUUCGCGCGUGCAAUGGGUACGGGCAGGCUUGGGUGUGGUAGGGGUGACUGGAAUUCCAGGUGUAGCGGUGGAAUGCGCAGAUAUCUGGAGGAACACCGGUGGCGAAGGCAGGUCACUGGGACAUUACUGACGGUGAGGAGCGAAAGCAUGGGUAGCGAACAGG
rnacentral:rRNA from 1 species